rnacentral:rRNA from 1 species
AUUAAAGUUCCACUUCGGAUUAAAAUCUUUAUGUGGUUCGUUCACAAAGGAGCUAUUCUCACCAAAGAUAAUCUGACAAAGAGGAACUAGGUUGGUAAUACUAGAUGUUGCUUUUGUGAUCAAAAUGAAUCGAUUAAACACCUCUUUCUUGAGUGUCCUCUUACGAGCAUAAACACAUUAUUUGGGGCGUGA